UAUGUCAGCUGUACAAAGGGCACCGAAUUUUAUCUGUGUACACUGACAAUCUGUAUUUUUCGUUAGGAAAAACACACACAGAAAAAAAAAAAAAAAAAACAAAACCCACAAGUGAAAGAUUUCAGAGGCUAUUCUGGUGUUUUUCUGCUAGCCACAAGAUGGUGCAGAGUACCAACAAAGAUGGACAUGUCAUUACCGUACUGGUGUCUGCAUUACCCAGGUCGUGCUUUGACAGCAUGGGCUUUUAUUGCUCAGCGGCAAAGGAUGGGAAUCUCUGCUGAGGAUCAGACUGCUAUGCCUUCGUGUCAACUUCUUGUAGGGAGCAUACUGUAUAAUGAGGCAAUAGGAAGCAGUAUUUGAUGCUUUGCUCGCUGAUAGCCAAUACUGAAUAUAUUGCAGUUGUUUGAACUGAUUGUCAAGGGAGAGGUCAUGAGCGCUCAAGUGAGUGUCAAACAGUGUGCAGCUCACCUCUACAACACUGGCCAAGGCUGUAGGUGAUAACCUGGAGCUGGACUUGUGGGAAAACCAAGCAGCUUUCAGGAGAGAGGGCUUUGAGCCAUCUUCCACUGAGAGGUGUAAAAUGUUAUGAAUCCAAGGUAUCGUCAUCCUCAACCCCUUCUACAAUUAUGCUGGCCACUAAUAUUCAGAAAGGACAGUUUUGUUAUUAAUGCUUCUCCCAUCAGGUUUUCUAGUGAGACUGAUGUGACCACAGUUAAUGUUUUAAAUAGCUGCUUUUGGGACUGCACCUCUGCCUCUGUACUGCUAGUUGUAAACAGCAAGGACAAGGAACCCAAACAAACAGGGGAGAGGGGGCUGUUUUUUCAGACAUUUUUGUAUUUGGAUGUACUUUUUACCUCUGAGUUUUUAGUCUUGAAGUCUGUGUAUAACACAGGUAUGAACAUUUUGUCAUCAAAUUUGCACACAGACAAUAAAAUAAUGAGGAUAUCUCCCCUCCGCAAGGCUUGGGCUAUCAAAAGAAUUUUAAGCUGAAUCUUGCCCUAGUGAGUCCGUGUUGGUGUGAGUGCAUGGACUGCACAGGAGCUUGCACUGCUGCAGAACUCAUCUACCAAAGGUACUGUGUGCUGGACGAAACUGACUCUGCCCUUUAGUGAGGGUACCAGUAUCACUCCACAGCUCCCUCUGGGCAAUUUUCUGUUAGGGUUGCAGAAUGAGACCACCUUGCCUGCUGCUUACGUGCUAAAAUGGCAGGUACUUUUUCCUCUAAAAACUUACAGUAUGUAACCACGCUUAUAAAUUCACAAGGAACCACAUGAACAAUCCAGUUCUGCUCCAUUUCUGCACCAAAACCAGCAUUUUUCUUGAGUUCGGGUGUGAAAACGUUUGUGUGUAUUUGACUGUAUGCGAGAGUUCAGGGCGACUCCUGAGAAAGUGCAGGGAGGACCAGACAUCCUGGAAGAUCUCAGAAGUGUUGUUUCAUCUCACACGCAGCACUGCUACAAUAUCAGAUGGAAUUUGAAGGCAUGUCUGUCUCUACAGAAUGCAACAGCAAGAUCCUGAAGUGAUGAUUACACCCAAAACCUGUGAUUUCAUGUUCAGCUGAUUGCUUUUGACCAGUUUGAGAACAUUAGUAGCUUGCUGAAAUCCUUGUGGAUUAUCUGCAGGAGUCGCCUUUCUGGAGGACUUUGCUUUGGAGAGGAAGGUGAUGACUCUGGUUUUCCUGCUGUGUAUUGAAGUACAUGGCUCUAGUUGCACAAAACAAGAGGUUCACUAUGUGAUGACAUGGACAAAGCACCCCCGCGUCUUACAAAAACAGUUUCUUGCAAGUGUGAAAUCUAAAAAUAUCCCCCAGAUGGAGACACCCAGCAAUGCAGUGAGAGCAUGGAGGAAUAGAGCUUGCAAUGUGCAAAUGCAGCAGCUCUCUUCUAGGCCCAGGGGAGGUGUUGGGGGAUCCACAGCAAGUGACCGGAGGAGCAGCCAUAGCAGGUUUGCAAGAUCUAUGUGUGCAAAUUUCCCUGGCUUUCCCACCUAGAGAGUGAGCAGCUCCAAGAGGUCUGCUCUAUCCAUCCUUCCUCCCAGGCAGCAUUUGGAGGACGCCAAAGGAACGCAAGUUCUGCACUCGCGCUCUGCCGAUACGGGGAUUUUGCCUGGCACAAGGGAGCAGUGAAGGCAUAAGUUAUCAAGACACACAUAACAGCAGCAUUGUUCAGGAGCGGGUUUGUUGCACACAGGCUGGGAGUUACACAUGCAAAAAGCCCCUUUUCUGGAGGAGAACAGGAGGAGAACACCGCAGGACCAGAAUGACCUUGCACCAGUCUUCCUGGGCAACAGGUUCGCUCAUAAAAUCUGCAUCAGAGACUUCUUUGCAAUUAGGUCAUUCAAUCUUUGAUCAUUUUUCUGUUCCAUAAGGUACAGAAAAUAUUUACAUUCAACACACAAGUUCUUUCUUCAAUUCCUUGACAGCAGACCGCUUUAAUUAUAUGUGUGCUGACAGGACUACAGAGAGAUCCCAUGUGACCGCGGUGGAAGGGAAGAAAGCUUAUCAUCAGGUGACAGAAGAAUGCCCUUAUUGUUAGUGCCAAUACUUACAAAUAAACCUUUCCAGUGUGUCAUAUACCGGUAUAAAUAUACCACUCCUGUGGCAUUGAGCUAAUAUGUUACUGAAGUAAGAACCAAGGAAGGGCUGCAUCUGAACCACUUCCCUUGGGACACAUGCGCUUCAAGAUUUGGCACAGAUUAACUGUACCAACUGUGAGCUGUGUGACUCACAACACAAAGUAUGCCAAAUAAUAGAACAUUUGCUAAUAUGGUCAGAGAAGGAUCCAUAAACCUCCUUGGGUUCUAGUCUUCACUCCUUUACCCCGGUUGCUGUUACUAGUUAUGCUGCAGUAGCUCCUAAGAGUCCUAAGCCACAUGGCAGGACUUGCUCGUGCUAAGCGCUGUGCAAACACAGCAGCACAAAAUGGAUUCUGCUCUGAAAAGAUGAGCUUGCUUCCCAGCCUGGCUUCCGCUGCAAUAAGUUCAAGGAUUAAUUCCAGCUUUAUUGCAGCGCAAGUUAACAGAAUUAGAUGCUCUGAGCUUAAAUUUGCACAGGAGAAAAUAGAAGUGUUUGUUAGAUUGUGAUUUCUCAUCACAGAGCGCAGGCAGGUAUCUUCAUCAAGCCACCUCCUGCACUUCAGGAAAUAAUCUGGACUUUUACUCCUUACUGUACUUCAGCAAACCAGCUGCUCCAAAGAUCAAUAAAUUUCACAGUGAAAUAGGAUAUUAUCUGCAUUGUAGUCCAUAGAAAGUUAAUCAGUAAGUACAGUGCAAAGCAAAUAAGGAACUGGGGAGAGGCGCGCAGGAUCUUUACUCCUGGCAGGAGGUGCCGAGAAGCUGUGGGCAUGGGCAGCCCAAGCGGGAAGAAGUGGUGUGCUCUGCAGGCAGGGAGAAGGACGGGAUGGAGGAAGGUGCCCUGCUUGUGAUGGAGCGAAGGGGGAUGAGUUGCCUCUGACCGGGCUUUUGUAUACCAAGGGAUAGCAACUUUCCAGGAAUUUGUAUAAUUUCACAGGUUUCUGCAUCAUUUCUGGUGUUGGUUAUUUCUCAUAACUACGUUAGAUAUAGGCAAAACGUGAAAUUCGGAUUCAGAUAUGAGCUCUGAGGCAAUACAUUGUGGCAGCUGUGUGAUUUGAAUCACUGUAUCUAUUACAGGUAUAUCGCUGAUGUAUUUUAAAUUGAAGCAUGUGCAAAUCAUUUAAUAAUAGUGUAGUUGACCCAUUCACAGCUAAAGUUAUAAGGGAGUUAAUAUGUCAUAGAUUUCUAAAACAAGAAGUGUUUUCAAAGCAUGCAUUGUCUUGCUGAAAACUGCAAAUGUGAUCUCUGAUUCCUUCUGGAAACCCGCCAUUUUCUAUAGCUCAUUUUUCACAGCAAACACAAGUUUGGUAUAUGAUUAUUAACGAAAACCAACAAUCUGUCCAAAACCUAACAGAGGGUGAACUAUGUUUUAAAUUCCUUUUCAUGGUCUGCCUUUUUUGGUUGAUAGCAUCUAUCCCCAUGAUACACUGUCUCCUAAUCUGCCCUGAUCUUGCAAACAUUUAUGUGCCAAUAACUACAUCAAGCAAACUCCUCUUACCGAAAUGCAUAGGUACUCACAGAAUGGUAGCUUUAGGUUAAUUCAGAGACUGAUCCCAACAUCAGUGCAAUACAUAGAUAUUAAUAUAGUUACUUUUACAGCUGCUACUGAUGGAUUUUCACUGCAGAAAAGAGACCAACUCCUACCAGCUAAACAGCUACGGAUAGUACAUUUGAAAACAGAGCUGCUAAAUACCAUUUUGUGCCAUUGCUUAAGGAUAGCAGCAAGUUCCCCAUUCCUUUUGAAAGGACAUAUGUGCAGGAUUUUCUAGUGAAUGUAGAGCAGAGCACUGCAUAGAAAUAUCACAGGAGCUCUGUCUUAGCUCUUAUAAUGACCCUUGAUAUUAUUUCUGCACCCACCACAAGUGCUAAUGAAUAUAUCUUCUUUAAACCCAUUCUUCCCUCUUGAGAGAAGUGAUGCUUCUGUCCAGUUGACGGAGAACUAUGGAAGAAAAAUAUAUAUUUGGCUUGAUGAAGGUAUUCCUGGACUCAUCCAAGAAGGCAGCUACAACCUGAGUUCUAGAUGACUGCAUGGUUGUAUCACUAACCUGCCAUUUGAUAGCAAUCACCUUAUUUUCCCCUAUCUAAAAUGGGGCUGCAGGCAUUUGGUUAUCUCACAGGAUGAGUUGAAAUAGAUGCACUAAUGCUUGCCAAGCUCUUUGAGAAUAUAAUGGUUACUUUGCAUCUUACUUCCUUUUUAAAUAGAGUAAAGCCAGGAGGUGUUGCAUGGCCAUUCACACCAGAUAAGGUAUUGAAUAGAUGUGUCUAGUAUAAUAAUUAACCAUGAAAAUGCUUUGCUGUGUUUUUAAUGAAUCCUUUUAAAGUGAAAAAUGCUUGCAGAAGUUUGCACCUUUGACAAUGCUAUUGUGAUCAUGUUUGUAGACUUACAGAGCAAACCACCUUGAUUACCUUGGAGAUCUCGAUGGUAGGCUUCCUUUCUCACUCUUUAUAGAAAGCAUUUUGGAAUCUGUAUAAAACAGCAAAACUUGAGAGAAAUCCAAGGGCAGAAACUGAAUUCUCAGAAGUUUCUAUGCCUGACUGCUUGCUCACUUGUUUUUGGUUUGUUUGUUUGUUUAUAGGCUUUUAUUUGGGGACCUGUAUUUCCAGCACACUGAGCUGCACUUUGAGCACAUACUUCAAGAGCUGCUGGAAAUAGCUGGGGGGGGGGGGGGGGGGGGGGGGGCAACAACCUGGUUUCUACUCAGGGAACCAUUUAAAGCACGCAGAGGGCUGGAAAGGCCCUUGAGAGAUACCUCGCCCAGCAAAUGUGCUGCAAUGCUGACAUAGGCACUGGGGUGUAAACACACCUUGGUCCCUGUGUUCUGCCUAGGUUGCCUGCCAUUAGCAGAGAUGGGGAUCCUGCAGCCUCUGACUCUUAGCUGUGGAAACCUGCCCCACUCACGAGAGAUUUGUGCAAACUGCAGGGUUUGCUCCUGUUGCAUCUCCUUGUCUUAAACGUCCUUGUCUGUGCAAAUACCUACCACAGCUCUGCAGAUUGAGUGUUAGAAAACAUAUUAACAGGGAACUACAGAAGGGAAGGGCAACUAAACACAGAGCUUUUCCUCCAAUUCACGUGGGAAGCAAAUGCAAAUUAUUACCAUUUGUAUCUUUUUGCAAAGCAUUUACCAUUCCAGGGUGAUCAGAGAAUCCCAACCUGGCAAUACACAACAGACCAUUUAUGUCCCCAACAGAGCUGUUGGGUUUUCUUACCAAGAAUGGAGAACUCAAAACCUUUGUUCCAACAAAACCACUUCUCUCACCUUGGAGUAAGCUGCUUCACAUCCAAGUGCUAGUGAGAAAAAUGAAGAACAUAGAGGCGUAUAGCCAUAGCACAUCAUCAGCGCUGGCAGGUAGUGCAUUAGGUCUGGGAUCUGUGAUCGUUAUCAGAUUCAGGCACAUCUAGCUCAGCAAAAUUGGAUCCAGAUCAGGCCUUGGCACACAACCGCAUUUCCUUCUAUUGUGACUGUAAGUACAGUUCAUAGGAAUUUCUACCGACUUUGUAUUUUCACUCUGAGGACAGGCAACUUCUAAUCCAACAUAAAGGCUCCAGGUCCUUGUUAACCCAUCACCGUUUUUCUUGAACAAAUGCGAGCAAGCAGAGUGAGCUGAUAUCAGACCGGUGUUUUGCAAUAGGUGCUCAGCGGCAGACUCAGCUGGUGGCAGGAGCUGUAAAGCUGGAUUUACUGUCUCUUUGGACUGCUGCCAUAAACAUAACCUCACGUUCUGCCAUGACUACAUAGGCUUCCCCCCUCCUUUGCUCCAGAUUUUAAACAGGAGACAUUCAUGGCACGAAUACACCUGACACUGGACAGAAAGAUCUCCCAUUUUUUGCUGAAUACCACUCUGAUAACCUUGACCCCACCUGGGCAACCUCCUUCAGGAGUAAAAAACUGCUGUUUUGGUGGGACACGUGCCAGGAGCUUGCCUGCCCAGCCACAGCAAUCUGUGCUUGUACCCUGAAACACCCCCACCAAGUCCCUGCAGCAUGUGCCUGAUUUAACUGAAAAUUUUUCAUCUUCUCAUUGAUUAGCUAUCACGAGGAGGGAACAGCAUCAUCGAUGAACUGCUCUGUUGUUCUCAGCGUAUCGUAUGCAGCCCCCAUAGAAAUCCUGUUAAUUUCAGGUUUAUUAUUUUAUUUUCUGCUUUUAUUGUCUCUCUGAAGAAAUGCUACUUCCUAAUUAAGUGCAUCAAAACCAUAAGACAGCAACCCAAAGUAUUUUCCUAUUUUAUUUCCUCAUAAAGGUUUAUUGCCGCAAGAGUGACUGUCACUAGGCAGUUAUAUCACUAUUAGUAAUAGACACUUAUAUUAACUCAAACCCCGCAUUUGUGAUGGGACCCUGUUGUUCAAGACCCUGGAAACCCACAGAAAUUCAUCAGUUUGUGUUCCAGAGCACUCCCAGAAAUAGCCGUAAACUUUCUUCAUGCUUUUCCUCAAUUUGUGACAUGGCAUUUAAUUUUUGAUUGACAAGCCCAGUACCGACAUACUUUGCCAAUUUCUGGUCCAGAUGCAGUUUGGUUAUUUGAAAAGAAACCCUCUCCACAAUGGUACAAUUGGAAUCAGCAUAUCCAUCAAAACAUGUAUUUGGACUUACUUCAGUUCAGGCUCGUACAAUCUGAGCAACAGAUAAACGCAUUAUUGAUCCUCGUAUUUUUAACUGAAAGAAAAAACUGCCCUUGAUGCUUCUAAUUACUUAGCAUAUACCCCCACUUGAUACGCCAUUCAAAGACAGACAGGAUGGAGCCAUCGUAUUUUCACAUUACUGUUUGCGUUGCAAAUGCAUUCUGGUGACGAGCAAGAAAGAUCCCGAUUGCAUAUGCAUUUUGCAGGAACACACCAAAAGCUUCGAUUGCAUUUGCGUCCUGUCUACACGACGUUACUUAGAAAAAUUACGGGAAAAAUUUCACACCCUGGAAGUGGGGAGCAAUGGUGAGAGGGGGCAAUUGCUUACUCCAACUGCGAGCGCAUGGGGGCAGAGGCUGCCAUUCCCUCCUUUAUCUCGAGGGUGCAGCCUGGAGGGCGUUA